GGGAGACGGCAGGAAUGUUCUCCUGGCCUGCUGGUCUGUGCCGGCGAGUGUGCUGAGAGGAGGGCCUCUGGACAUCAAAGGUUCCUUUUGUCCCCUUCCGAGUGGCAGGGCAGCCCGGCCCGGGCUGCUGGCGAUGACUCAGGCCUGGCCCUGACGUCACCCACACCCGGCCACUGGCCUCCCUCUGAAGCCAGGAAACUAGUUGGGGAGUGGCACUCGCAGCUGCAGCAAAUCUCAAACUAAAGAGGCAACGGCCUUUCUCUUCCUCUCCAUCUCCCUAUAGCACACCUUUUAUUUCUUUUCUUCUUUUUUUUAAGCCUCACGAAAGAUUUUACUUGUAGAUCAACUUUCAAAAUGUAGGAAGUCAGAAUGGGUGACAUCAUCAGAAAAAUAUGUGGAGCUGAUCACCACAAGAAGUGAAGAACCCAGAGCACGAAAGCGGUUGUGACUCCUGGGCCCAGGGAGUUGACAGCGUCUGGGCUUCAGAGGAGCCAGCGCCUCCGAGUUGUCUUGAAGUGAGGCUCUGCCGUAGUCCUGUCCUUCUGGCUCUAAGAUCUGAAUGUUGUGACCACUAAUUUGCUCUUUCCUGGAGGGUAACCCCAGUUUGGUCCACAAGGCUUGCUGCCCAAUCCUUGCCAACAGUUGAACCAAGACUCUGAGGCUGAUAUGCAAUGUCACUUACAACAUUAAUCAGAUACUGCAUUUAAGUACAGACGGGGUUUCACCAUGUUGGCCAGGAUGGUCUCAAUCUGUUGACCUUGUGAUCCGCCUGCCUCAGCCUCCCAAAGUGCUGGGAUUACAGGCGUGAGCCACCACGCCCAGCCUGAACUUUCCAUUUCUAUCCCAAGCCUCCUAUUCUACAUGCUGAGGAUGCCAGAGGGCCCCCUUACCACCACUCCCCACCACACCCUACCACCCUCCUCCCCAUCACUGUACUAGAUCUGAAUUAAACAUUAAAUGAAAUAA
rnacentral:sRNA from 1 species